rnacentral:tRNA from 1 species
AGGCUUGUAGCUCAGGUGGUUAGAGCGCACCCCUGAUAAGGGUGAGGUCGGUGGUUCAAGUCCACUCAGGCGUACCA